CACCCCUUCCCACAGGGAGAGAUCGGGGAGCCGGGGCAGAAGGGGAGCAAGGGGGACAAAGGAGAGCAGGGUCCGCCGGGGCCCACGGGUCCUCAAGGCCCCAUCGGGCAGCCGGGCCCCUCGGGAGCGGACGGAGAGCCGGGGCCCCGGGGCCAGCAGGGCCUUUUCGGGCAGAAGGGUGACGAAGGCCCCAGAGGCUUCCCUGGGCCCCCUGGACCAGUGGGGCUGCAGGUAACUGGGGAGUGUGGAUG